rnacentral:lncRNA from 1 species
AAGUUAAUUAUCUGCUAAAGAUCUAAAAAAAUUAGAUUCAUUGGACUCCAAUUGUUGGAUGCCUAGAGUUUUGGAUCAUAUGAAUUAGGGGUUCAAACCUCUAAUCAAUUCUUUGAUUGAAUUGCAUGGGGUGCCACUUGAUUUGAUCAAGUUAAGCAUGCCCACUUUAUUGAUGGCCUGAUGGACUAAGAAGGGGCUCACCCC